rnacentral:lncRNA from 7 species
GAAAACACAAAGAUUGACCUGAUGGACUACUAGUUUUAGGUACAUCUCAUACAGGGAGAAUGAUGGCAAGAAUAGCUCAACACUCAACUUGCUGGACAACCCCACAGCCCUGUUCCUUGCCAUGGUCCCCCAUGUUACACUGGAAUCAGCCUUGCCAGCGUGCUCAGCCUGACAUUGAUGUGCUUUGCUUACACCUCAUUGCGUGCCAGCAGUGACGUGGGAUUUGCUUUUUUGGGCUUUGGGAAAGAGGUGUGAAGAAGAGAGGGACCAAAAUGAUGGGAGUCACGGACUGACAAGUGAUGUCUUACCCAUAUUCCAAACAGUCCUCUGCUGUUGGUGCUAGAAGAGGAGAACAGGGCUUGACCCAAGAAGGGGAGGAGGAGUGCUGGAGGAGACCCCGGGAGUGAGACCGGUUGGGAAGCUGCCCAAGGGAAUGUUCAGAGAACCCCACGCAAGGAGUCUCGAUCCGCUCCUUGGAGUCCCCCUGAAAGCCUAAAACAAGCUUUUCAUCUCUGCCCAGUGCUUCACCUGGUUCUGAAUAAUUUUUUUUCUUCCUCUUAUAUCUAUUACACUAAAAGUUACUUUCAAAGGAAAUUGUUGCAUCAACAAGCACUCAG